GAACGCUAGCUACAGGCUUAACACAUGCAAGUCGAGGGGCAGCAUGGUCUUAGCUUGCUAAGGCCGAUGGCGACCGGCGCACGGGUGAGUAACGCGUAUCCAACCUGCCUUACACUCUUGGACAGCCUUCUGAAAGGGAGAUUAAUACAAGAUGUUAUCAUGAGUAAGCAUUUUCGCAUGAUUAAAGGUUUACCGGUGUAAGAUGGGGAUGCGUUCCAUUAGAUAGUAGGCGGGGUAACGGCCCACCUAGUCUUCGAUGGAUAGGGGUUCUGAGAGGAAGGUCCCCCACAUUGGAACUGAGACACGGUCCAAACUCCUACGGGAGGCAGCAGUGAGGAAUAUUGGUCAAUGGACGAGAGUCUGAACCAGCCAAGUAGCGUGAAGGAUGAAGGUUCUAUGGAUUGUAAACUUCUUUUAUACGGGAAUAAACGAAUCCACGCGUGGAUUUUUGCAUGUACCGUAUGAAUAAGGAUCGGCUAACUCCGUGCCAGCAGCCGCGGUAAUACGGAGGAUCCGAGCGUUAUCCGGAUUUAUUGGGUUUAAAGGGAGCGUAGAUGGGUUGUUAAGUCAGUUGUGAAAGUUUGCGGCUCAACCGUAAAAUUGCAAUUGAUACUGGCAGUCUUGAGUACAGUUGAGGUAGGCGGAAUUCGUGGUGUAGCGGUGAAAUGCUUAGAUAUCACGAAGAACUCCGAUUGCGAAGGCAGCUUACUAACCUGUAACUGACAUUGAUGCUCGAAAGUGUGGGUAUCAAACAGGAUUAGAUACCCUGGUAGUCCACACGGUAAACGAUGAAUACUCGCUGUAGGCGAUAUACAGUCUGCGGCCAAGCGAAAGCAUUAAGUAUUCCACCUGGGGAGUACGCCGGCAACGGUGAAACUCAAAGGAAUUGACGGGGGCCCGCACAAGCGGAGGAACAUGUGGUUUAAUUCGAUGAUACGCGAGGAACCUUACCCGGGCUUAAAUUGCAACCGAAUAUGGCGGAAACGCUAUAGCUAGCAAUAGCGGUUGUGAAGGUGCUGCAUGGUUGUCGUCAGCUCGUGCCGUGAGGUGUCGGCUUAAGUGCCAUAACGAGCGCAACCCUUGCCGAUAGUUACUAACAGGUUAUGCUGAGGACUCUGUCGGGACUGCCAUCGUAAGAUGUGAGGAAGGUGGGGAUGACGUCAAAUCAGCACGGCCCUUACGUCCGGGGCUACACACGUGUUACAAUGGGGGGUACAGAGGGCUGCUACCACGCAAGUGGAUGCCAAUCCCAAAAACCUCUCUCAGUUCGGAUUGAAGUCUGCAACCCGACUUCAUGAAGCUGGAUUCGCUAGUAAUCGCGCAUCAGCCACGGCGCGGUGAAUACGUUCCCGGGCCUUGUACACACCGCCCGUCAAGCCAUGGGAGCCGGGGGUACCUGAAGUGCGUAACCGCAAGGAGCGCCCUAGGGUAAAACUGGUGACUGGGGC
rnacentral:rRNA from 1 species